CCUACGGGGUGCAGCAGUGGGGAAUAUUGGGCAAUGGGCGCAAGCCUGACCCAGCAACGCCGCGUGAAGGAAGAAGGCUUUCGGGUUGUAAACUUCUUUUGUCAGGGAAGAGUAGAAGACGGUACCUGACGAAUAAGCCACGGCUAACUACGUGCCAGCAGCCGCGGUAAUUCGUAGGUGGCAAGCGUUGUCCGGAUUUACUGGGUGUAAAGGGCGUGUAGCCGGGUUGACAAGUCAGAUGUGAAAUCCUGCGGCUUAACCGCAGAACUGCAUUUGAAACUGUUGAUCUUGAGUACUGGAGAGGCAGAUGGAAUUCCUAGUGUAGCGGUGAAAUGCGUAGAUAUUAGGAGGAACACCAGUGGCGAAGGCGGUCUGCUGGACAGCAACUGACGGUGAGGCGCGAAAGCGUGGGGAGCAAACAGGAUUAGAUACCCCAGUAGUC
rnacentral:rRNA from 1 species